UGGCAGCUAAGGAUGUCUACACAGAGACCAUAUUUCCUUUGUAUAGAGGUGUUUCAAGUUAGAAUGACAAAAUAGCCUGUAUCAUGCUCAGACCUCAGCAUAUUGGCUAUCCAACUGUAAAUCUACACUUUUCUAAGAAUCUCACAAGAAACACAUCUACAUUAAUGGGCAUGUCUUUGGCUCCUUGUUCAAACCUUGUGGCCCAUGGUUUUACCUUGUCAGGUGGAAAUCCUAUCCAAGACACCAAAGGGGCCACCUGUAACUUCAUUUAUCAAAAAGGAGGAGAAAAGGAAAAGAAAUUUCCUUAGCAACCCUUUGAGACGUAACUUGAGAGCCACCAAAAUCAUAUGUGGCUACUAUAACACCCGUAAGUGUAACUCUCCCCUGAGAUCCCCACAUUCACACUUGAGUGUGUCUUUUCCUUUCCCCGAGUGCCUCUCUUUCUAUUAUUUCCCGUGCUUAAGUCUAUACUUAAGGGUCAGCAGGUAAAGGCACUCACCACCAAGACUGACCACUUAGCGUUCAGUCCCUGGGACCCACAUGAAGGAGAACACUGAUCCUGAAAGUUACCCUCUAACCUCUGCAUACGUGUGCUCCUACACUCACCUGCCCCCCAAUCAAUCAUUCAAUCAAUCAAAAUAAACAAAUGUAAUAAAAAAAAUAAUCUAUGUUAAAAUCUCUUCCUAAAACCUCCAUUCUGCUUCACGCUGGCUCAUCCUGAAGGUUCUUUUCUGUUAUGAAGCCAAGAAUCCCAUCUUCACUUGAGUAUCUGAAAAAGGAAAACUUCCUCGGGCUGCUGUAGAUGACACUGUGGCUGUCUCCAAUCCAGGCCCCACGGCCACCCACAAACCCUAGCUGGGCAGCUGGUGAGCCAAUAGGCUUCAUGUAGCCACAGGCGGUCAGAACCCCACUGCCAGUCUCCCAGCAUUCACAGCUCCCACCCCAAACUUGGCUCCCCACUUUGAGUUCUCAGAUACAGCAAACUCCUGACAUCUGAAGCCAAAAGGAACUUCCCGCAGCUUUCUAAGAACAAAAGCUGAGACACAGAGUAUGUUCCCGAUGCACUGAUAAUCAGGAGUUCAUAGGAGGGAACAGUUGUCUCAUUGUGAGUUUUAUGUACACAUUCCCAGAAACGCAUCUUUAACACGAUCAAUUGGUUUCCACAUACUUAACUCAUCUGAUAAUUGAUUUUCAGCCUUGCUCACUUUCCAGCGAAACUAAGGAAGAGGCUUGGAAAAGUCUGAGUCGUCCUUGUCCCCAUUGUUCUAAAAACAACAAGCCUUUUGUGAGCCCCACGGCUGCCACAGAACUGGCACACACCAUGGUAUUCGGGGAGUCAGAGCUUCAACCCCCAAGAUCUCUGAGGCUCAGGAUGCACGAUAAUUCAAAACAUUUUGGAGAUAAGGACAGAAAGGAAGGAGGAGGUAAUCAUUGUUUUUGAAGUUUUAGGUCACAAACUCUCUCUUGGAAGUUUACCACAUUAGCUGACCCAUUUCUCCCUCCCUAGGUUGCUUGAAGGCAUCGCAACUCCUAACUCUGGCUAACAGUGAUGGAGGGAGGAUUCCAGGCAGGGUGUUUGGAGAGGCAGUGGUGAAGAGAAGCAGAGACCCCAGAGCUGGUAGAGACGGUGGUGGUUCUGACCUCCCAUAACACAUCCAUACUGUGUUGUGGGAAUCUGAGCCACAAAACACUUAUCCUUCGAGCCGGAUUCGAACCAGCGACCUAAGGAUAUCCAGAUUGGAUCACUCUACAGUCCUCCGCUCUACCAACUGAGCUAUCGAAGGAUGACAUAUAUGUGUUCUAACAAGGUCUCAAGUAGCUCAGCCUGGCUUCAAGUUUCUAUGUGAAUGGUUUUAAAAUUUUGAUCUUUCUGCCUCCACCUGGGAUUACCAGUAUGAGUCACCAAGGCUCAUUUUAAACAAUGCUGAGGAUCAAACUCAGGGCUUCACAAAUGCUAAGUGGGCACUCUACCAGUACCAAGGGCAGUAUUCACAGGGAAAAAAAAAACAGUAAACAAUCCACGAUCUUGGCAACUACGUCCUUUUUUUAAAGCAAUGCUUUGAAUUAUUCAGGAAAACUUACUGAUUCUUUCUAUGAUGUACACAAAUUUAAAAUAAAUACCAGAGCAAUAUGUGUCAGCUGUCAUUAAUUGAUGGGUUCAUGGUGAUUUCGUUUAUAAAUUUGUUUUUCUUCUUUUUCCCACUUUUCUGUAGUAAAUGGAAAUUCAAAACUACAUAAGGAAUUGCUGAUCUCACGAGUGACUUUGGCAGGGGAAGUCCUUGUGACUGUGCCUUUGUGCCACCUUGAAGGUAGAAUCCUGCCACCCACACAGCAGCUCCUGAGAGUGGAGAGGAGAUCAGCGAUGCAGAGCUGGAGUCAUUGUGGCCCCAACCCUCUAAUUAUUCACAAAUGUAAUGAUAAAGCAGUUUACUUUCUGGGCUCCUA